GGGCCUUGAAACAGUGAGCUGUCUUUGUUCGAAAUACAGGUGAACGGCAAUCAUGUGAUUAACACACACACACAUAAAAAGCUUUUUAACAGCGCCCGCCCGGCCUCAGAACCUCCCGGAGAGAAGCCGCCUUGGAUGGACAGAGGGACUGAGCUACAAGCAUCCAGCCAGUCGUGUCCUGGCUCCCCGGCAGCGGUUCCCAACGUCCGCUGCUAUCCGCGCCGGCUGCCCGCCUGCCUGCCUGGCAUCUCUCUCCCGAUCCCCUCCAUAGGACAGGGAAAGGAUGAGGCGAGGGGCCACAAGCAAGGCAUUUACCACCUUUGAACACAGAGGUUCCCUUCAUGAGGGGCUGCAGGGUCACCAUAUGACAAACAGGACACAUCUGCCACAACUGCAAGGCAGGGCUGCUUCCCAAAGGACCAUGUGCCAGUCUCUGUGGUUCCAGAGGAGGUUGCACUUGACAACACUCCAUUAAACAAGAUAGGUCCGUGCAGAACUAUGCCCGAAGAUGCCAUUGCAAUGUGUGUAAUAACAAAAGCUGGCUGUGUCUUAACAUUCAGGAGCACAGGACGGGAACCCAAGGCAGAUCACCUUCACAUAACAGAACACAUUGUGGUGGUAAAAACGACAUUCAUGCAGGAUUUUUUAACGAUGUUGGGAAGUGU
rnacentral:lncRNA from 1 species